CGAAAGCACUCGCAUGACAAGCAUGAGCCACUGCAGACCCACAGCACUUAAAUUCCAAAAUCACCUUGAAACCCUGACCUUCCACCUGCCCUGGUGGCUUCCAGAGGAAUUUCUGAAGCUGCUGAGUGUAGAAAGCACUGAGGAGGCUGCGCUCCCACCCCUGUGAGUCUUCCAGGCAUGAUCCUCUCCCCUUGGCGAGGCGGCCUCCAUGGCACACCGAGGGGGCCGUGCUCCUGUCCCCCGUGAGCUUUCCAAGUGUCCUCGUCUCCCCUCCAGGGGGACAGGAGGAACCUUUCAAACCCUUCUUAAACUUGUUUUCAUGUCUUUGUUUUAACAGAUUUCUUUGCAUCGUCUCCCUUAUCCAGAAGUGAGGGUGAACGGAGUUAUUCACGGGAGUCAAGAAACCACACGCAGCCCAAAGUGACGUUUGUUUCCCUGAAAUGAUUUGUGUGUGUUCACCUUAAAAUGCAACUCAGUAAAA